AAGAUGAAUGAGAGUAUGACGCUGUGUGUUAUGUGCGUGGUGGUGAGGAACCUGGCAGUCGACGAUGAACUAUGCUGUCAUCCAUAUCUGUGACUCGUACAAAAGUUACAGUUGGUUCCAACAAUAUAUCAGAUUCAUAAAAGUACGAACACGGUGAAGAAAAAAAAUAUGGAACUGGUAUGGACGUGGGCAAUGAAAGGGCGAUGACCGUGGAGGACAACGGUCCCCAGUGCCAGUCAGGGGAGACAGUCACUCAAGCAACUAAAAAACCCAUAUAAGACUCGUUGCUUCAAUAAAAUCACCGGAAUCCAACAUGGAAUCAAGUUUUAUUAAAAUUGCAAUACCCUUCUGUGUAUUCCCAUCGCUGUGUUCCUUCGAGACUCUCCAAUACGGAUCGUGGUACAACACACUAUUAGUGAUAAUUCCCAUCUAGCAAUGGCAAGAGCGGGCGUAUGAUGCUACAGGUCUGUGGCACCGGUGAGGUCAGUGGCGGCAACCAAGUCAAAGAUGAACAAACAAGUUAGUAUUGCGAUAAUCGUUAAUGUUUGCCAGCGUACCUAAUUCGGUAACAGUGUUUUAUAAGUUGAUAAUUUUAUGGGAGUUAAGCACGCACUCGUAAUGCAGGCUCAUAGUGUGUCAUGCGUGGCCCGUGCCAGGUGAGUAUUAGGGAAGGCAGGUAAGUCAGUUGGUUAGGAAGCGUUACGAGCCAGAGCGAAGGAAUCUAGCUAGAGUGAAUUACUAUAGUAUUAACUUUCGUGUCUAAGAUAGUCAUAAGUUUAUCAUUAUUAUCAACCUAUAUAUGGGUCUACUGUAGAACAUAAGAUACAUUCUGGUUCUGUGUCUUAGCGGGGUUGCCGACGGAAUCAAAACUACCCGGCUAUGUCCCGUGUCUAUUUUCCUCUAGAUGAGCUGAAUAGAGGCUACAGCGUGAAAAGAGACUUGACUGAAUUCUCUUCACCAUACCAGGAAUUCGAAUCCAGAAAUUUUCGUGGAAUUUUCUAAGUGCAAACGAGAUUCAAGAGAGAAUUGUUUCAUUAGCAAAAUCUGGAAACGCAUAAUAAAUCCGUUGUGUCCAAACAAAAACCAAGCAGUCAAGUGAAAAGACAUAAUGAUGUUAUCGCGAGACAAGAAUUGUUUCUGGAACGUAAAAUCAAUUACCACCGCAAUCACAAGUCUGGUGAUUCAACAUCACCUCCACUCUCUCGAUUACACCUUAGUGGCAGGAAGAGUCAAGACUGCGGACACUCGGAGAACCGUGAUAUUGAAGAAAAUAAUUGUUUCUGCAGAACAUCAACUUUGGUGCAUAGGGUUCUUCAAGC